AACGAACGCUGGCGGCAGGCCUAACACAUGCAAGUCGAGCGGACAUCUUCGGAUGUUAGCGGCGGACGGGUGAGUAACGCGUGGGACGUUGCCUUUGCCUCCGAAUUCCCCCCGGGAAACGGGAGUUAUUACCGGAGGUCCCCUUGGGGGAAAAAUUUAUCCGCAAAGGAACGGCCCCGGGUGGGUUAGGUAGUUGGUUGGGUAAUGGCCUACCAAACCGACGAUCCAUAGCUGGUUUGAGAGGAUGAUCAGCCACACUGGGACUGAGACACGGCCCAGACUCCUACGGGAGGCAGCAGUGGGGAAUCUUAGACAAUGGGGGAAACCCUGAUCUAGCCAUGCCGCGUGAGCGAUGAAGGCCUUAGGGUUGUAAAGCUCUUUCACCGGGGAAGAUAAUGACGGUACCCGGAGAAGAAGCCCCGGCUAACUCCGUG
rnacentral:rRNA from 1 species